rnacentral:rRNA from 1 species
GUCCACGCUGUAAACGAUGAGUGCUAGGUGUUGGCCAGCGAUGGUCAGUGCCGCAGUUAACACAUUAAGCACUCCGCCUGGGGAGUACGGUCGCAAGACUGAAACUCAAAGGAAUUGACGGGGACCCCGCACAAGCAGCGGAGCAUGUGGUUUAAUUCGAAGCAACGCGAAGAACCUUACCAAGGCUUGACAUCCCCUUGACCAGUGCAGAGAUGUACUCUUCUCUUCGGAGACAAGGGUGACAGGUGGUGCAUGGUUGUCGU